ACAAGUAAAACUCAAUGCCCUCAUGAGGACCAUGCACAAAAAAUUCCCUCGUCCCUUUAAUCAAACAUUCCCACAUUUAUAUAUAGUAUUGCAAGGGGCAAAUACACAUUGUCACACUCCUCCACCAAUCCUCCAAAAACACUCAAAUUCUCCCAAAAUUCAAGAAAUUGAUCACCACAAAAACAUUGAUCAAUCAUGUCCACUCUCAAACUCUUGCAAAUCACAAUAUUUCUUGCUCUAUUUUUAUCUCUAAUCCAAGCUGAUGAAAAACCAUCAAGAAAGCUAGAUGAAAAUCCACCUGACCUAGAAAACAAGUGUGGAGAUUGCCCUUGCGACAACCCUUGCAACCCUCAGCCAUCUCCGCCGCCGCCUUCACCACCGCCUCCAUCUCCGAAGUAUCCACCGCCGAGCAAUGACUGUCCGCCGCCACCCGCCGCCAAGAAACCGCCCAGGGGCACAAACCCUCCCUAUAUAUACAUAAAUGGGCCGCCGGGAAAUGUUUAUCCGGUUUAUCCGUAUUAUUCCGGCGGCCGCCGCAGCGUUUUGGUCGGAAAAAUUCCGUUCUUGAUCAUCGGCUGUUUAUUGUGGGUGGUAGCUUUUUGAAGUUUUUUUUUGGGUGGAAAAAGAAUAAAUCAUCAUGAUCAAUAUUUUCAAUUUGUUGAAAUUAUAAGUUUGGUUUAUUGCUUUUUUUACAGCAAAAAAGGCGAUUCCGCCGCCUUGGCGACCCCUACACUCCGGCCUGACAUCAUGUGAGGGGGUUAAAUCAGGGUACGCAUUGGCCCGUUAAGGGGGAGACCUUAACCCACUGACUGCCAGAAGGCCAUCUCCCAAGGAGCCCAUCUCCCAAGGCCUCACACUUGUGCUUGAGAGAUGGAAGCAACAACACGACCGCAGUGGGAUUUGAACUCAGACUCAUUGCAGCAAGAUCUGCCCCUCCGUUGCCAACUGCGCUAAGCCCCUGCGGGCAGUUUGGUUUAUUGCUUUAGUUAUGCUGUUUUGGGGCAAUCCGAUCUUUGAUAUUUAAUUAAUAAAGAUUAAUGAUAUUUCAAUUGUGUUCUA